CGGAGGGUGCAAGCGUUAUCCGGAAUCACUGGGUUUAAAGGGUGCGUAGGCGGUUCGAUAAGUCAGAGGUGAAAGCUAGCAGCUUAACUGUUAAAUUGCCUUUGAUACUGUCGGACUUGAAUCAGGUUGAGGUAGGCGGAAUGUGACAUGUAGCGGUGAAAUGCAUAGAUAUGUCAUAGAACACCAAUUGCGUAGGCAGCUUGCUGGGCUUGAAUUGACGCUGAGGCACGAAAGCGUGGGAUCAAACAGGAUU
rnacentral:rRNA from 1 species